AAUGUAGAGAGAGCAGGUCAGUUAUAGAGGGGAAGGUAGUUAGCUAGCUAGCUACAUCUGUAAACGCUAGCUGGUUAGCCAGGUUAGAUAUGUAGGUAAUGUAGAGAGAGCAGGUCAGUUAUAGAGGGGAAGGUAGUUAGCUAGCUAGCUACAUCUGUAAACGCUAGCUGGUUAGCCAGGUUAGAUAUGUAGGUAAUGUAGAGAGAGCAGGUCAGUUAUAGAGGGGAAGGUAGUUAGCAGGAAUAACUCCUGGUUUGUCUAGAAAUGACUAAAUGUUUAGGUCUGGUUAGGCCACCGUGUCAGAUAGUCGACUAAACAGUUGUUGUUUGUCCCGUCGGAUUAGCAUUCAGAUCAUGGCUAACCUAACUAAACUAACUAACUAACUAACUAACUAACUAUUCCCGUUAGUUAACCUAGUAAAAACACCUUGGACAUGACAAGACACUAACUAGCUUGUUAAAACAGGCGAAUAUCAAAUCUAAAAUGUACUAGUUAAAUAUCCACGAACUAGUUAUCCUCGUCCGUUUGGUUGUUGAGUUAUUAUUAUUUGUUUUAACUAACUAGUACUAGUUAACGUUACCUAUAUUAGACGUUAAGAUGUUAGUAAAUAGAAGAACCGGAUGUAGUUAUCGCCAUGACAGGUCUGUCCAGCGGAUUUUAUCCGUUUUUAAUCCCCCCCCCCCCCAAAAAAAAACAACACUCAAAUGAACCGUAAAACGUUUUAGUUAUCUACCGUUAUUAGUUUUUUACCUGUCAGGCGGAUUUUAAUGCUGGACACGUUUCUCUGAGAGCCGGGACCCGACAUCACAACGGAAGAACAGUGGUUGUAAACGCCAGCUUCAAUAUAACCAACUCCCAACACUCCUCCUGAGGAUAUUUGGACCUCUAGGUUGUUAGAAUAUGUGGCUUGUCUUCUUCAAGGGGAAAUGUGUAUUAUUUCCAGGCGAAAUCCCCCGUCCCGAACAAGCAGCAACACAGACGGACAUUUUCAAGGUGGCUCUGGACCAUAAAG
rnacentral:lncRNA from 1 species